CCACCCACGCGCAAUGGUCGGAGGAGGCCGCGUCCCAGGACGCGAGCGCCCCAGUGGGGUCGGAGAGCGCGGCCUUCGCGGCCAGCAGCGCGUCCGCGUCCGCGUCCGUGCCGGCCGCGACAGCGGCGAGGGACAGGAGCAGGAGCAGCGGGAGGAGGCGCAUUGGAACUCUCUUUUCUCGGGCGCGGCGGCGGAGUGGAGGGAGGAGAAGAGAGGGCGAGAGAGGCGUCUCGACUCACACUCUCGGCGAGUAGAGUGCGGACAAGAGCGUGGCGAGAAGGGUGUGCUAGCUGUGGCCUGUAGCCUGUGGCCUGUUG
rnacentral:misc_RNA from 1 species